CAGUCGCCGCGGUAAUACAGAGGGUGCAAGCGUUAAUCGGAAUUACUGGGCGUAAAGCGCGCGUAGGUGGUUUGUUAAGUUGGAUGUGAAAGCCCCGGGCUCAACCUGGGAACUGCAUCCAAAACUGGCAAGCUAGAGUACGGUAGAGGGUGGUGGAAUUUCCUGUGUAGCGGUGAAAUGCGUAGAUAUAGGAAGGAACACCAGUGGCGAAGGCGACCACCUGGACUGAUACUGACACUGAGGUACGAAAGCAUGGGGAGCAAACAGGAUUAGAUACCCGCGUAGUCCCUGUCUCUUAUAC
rnacentral:rRNA from 1 species